rnacentral:rRNA from 1 species
AGUGAACGCUGGCGGUAGGCCUAACACAUGCAAGUCGAACGGCAGCACAGGAGAGCUUGCUCUCUGGGUGGCGAGUGGCGGACGGGUGAGGAAUACAUCGGAAUCUACUUUUUCGUGGGGGAUAACGUAGGGAAACUUACGCUAAUACCGCAUACGACCUACGGGUGACAGCAGGGGAUCUUCGGACCUUGCGCGAUUGAAUGAGCCGAUGUCGGAUUAGCUAGUUGGCGGGGUAAAGGCCCACCAAGGCGACGAUCCGUAGCUGGUCUGAGAGGACGAUCAGCCACACUGGAACUGAGACACGGUCCAGACUCCUACGGGAGGCGGCAGUGGGGAAUAUUGGACAAUGGGCGCAAGCCUGAUCCAGCCAUACCGCGUGGGUGAAGAAGGCCUUCGGGUUGUAAAGCCCUUUUGUUGGGAAAGAAAUCCAGCUGGUUAAUACCCGGUUGGGAUGACGGUACCCAAAGAAUAAGCACCGGCUAACUUCGUGCCAGCCGCCGCGGUAA